rnacentral:rRNA from 1 species
GAUUAUAAUUUAAAGUUUAAUYUGCUCAAWKAAAAUUUUUAAAUAGCUGCGGUAUUUUKACCGUACUAAGGUAGCAUAAUCAAUAGUUUUUUAAUUGAAAGCUGGUAUGAAUGAUUGGAUGAAAUAAUUAUUGUUUCAAAUUUAAUAAUUUUAGAAUUUUUUUUUUAGUAAAAAUACUAAAAUAAAUAUAAAAGACGAGAAGACCCUAUAGAUUUUUAUAUUUAAAUUUUUUUUAUAUUAAUUUUAUUAAUUUUUUAAUUAUUUAUUUAAAUAUUUGAUUGGGGAAAUUUUUAAAUUAAAUUAAUUUUAAAUUUUAGAAAACUUUAAUUAAUGAUUAAUUGAUUAUAAAUUUUAUAAUUGGAGAUUAAAUUACCUUAGGGAUAACAGCGUAAUUUUUUUGGGGAGAUCAUAUUUAUAAAAAAGAUUGCGACCUCGAUGUUGAAUUAAGAUAAAAUUUUAAUGAAGAAGUUAUAAAUUUUUGGUYUGUUCMACCAUUMAAAUCUUAC